rnacentral:rRNA from 1 species
AUUGAACGCUGGCGGCAGGCCUAACACAUGCAAGUCGAACGAGUGGCGGACGGGUGAGUAAUGUCUGGGAAACUGCCUGAUGGAGGGGGAUAACUACUGGAAACGGUAGCUAAUACCGCAUACCAUCGGAUGUGCCCAGAUGGGAUUAGCGAGUAGGUGGGGUAAAGGCUCACCUAGGCGACGAUCCCUAGCUGGUCUGAGAGGAUGACCAGCCACACUGGAACUGAGACACGGUCAAGACUCCUACGGGAGGCAGCAGUGGUGAAUAUUGCACAAGGGGCGCAAGCCUGAUGCAGCCAUGCCGCGUGUAUGAAGAAGGCCUUCGGGUUGUAAAGUACUUUCAGCGGGGAGGCGUUACCCGCAGAAGAAGCACCGGCUAACUCCGUGCCAGCAGCCGCGGUAAUUC